GGAGCUGGCUUGACAGUAGUUUUCCUACUUGCUUGGGAAACUUGCUUCAUUGUCUCCCUCCUCCUCAUGGCUUGUGACUUUGGCCUGCUGCCUGGUGCCACUCUUCCUGGAUUGCACUCCCCAGUGUUGGGCACUCAAAAGGAAAUCAGAUGGAGCCUCGAGAAGGCCACAGUAAUCAGUUCAAUGUGAAAUUAUUACAAUAGAGGUACAGUGCUCUGGAGUGCAGCUUAUCAAGGAGGGAGCAAGCAGAUAAGUUGUACAGCAAGAAGAUGGAGUAGUCACCAGGUUGUUUUGUCAACUGUAAUUGGAUCCCGUACUCUACCCACAAUAAUGGUGUUCCUGGGAAGAAGUCAUGAGCUUUGGGCAUAUGUAACCCUCUUAUGCAUUACUAGUAGUGAGUUGAACAAAAUCCUUCCAGAUUUGCUAAGCUGAGGUCCCAGGCCUCACAGGUUUGUCAAUGACACCAAGGCAAGUCUUGAUUAAGGUUGAUAAUGGUAACUUACAGUUAAUACUGAUGAAAUUAUUACUUUUCAAGCUUUGAUUACAUUAUUUUUUGAGUAGGCCACACUUUCAGAAGAUAUAAAAUAUUGUUCAGUGAAAACUCUUUUCUCCAUCUGUUUCCCUAAACAUGUGUUUCCUUUUCUUGGAGGCAACCAAUACUACAAUUUCUUGAGUCUCUUCCAGAAAUAGUGUAUGCACAGACAAGCACUCACAUAUGCAAUCUUAAAGAAAAUUUGAUUAGUGUCAGAUUUUUAUAUCAAGGAUAACAUUAACAAUGAAUUUUCUUCUCUUCAGGGAGAAAUAGUUAUUAGUUUUUCAAAUUGCAAAAUAAUGCAUAUUCAUUACAGAAAACCUAGAAAAUACAAAAAACAGAAGACAAAAUGAAUAUUCCCUUUAUCUCAGCAUUUGGAGAUGAUUUUUAUUAUUAUUAUUAUUAUUUGGUAUGAGGAAUUGAACUCAGGACCUGUGCUUGCCAGACAGGUGUAGUGCCACUGAGCUAAAUCCCUGGCCCUUUGGAGAUAACUUUUAGUUAUCUAUAAUUAUUUAUAUUGCCUUCUAGUUUUUUCACAUGACAUGUACAAUAUACUUCAUUGACAUUUUUUCUUUUCCCUCACUAUAUUGUUUCUACCUUUGCAAGUCAUUAAAUGUGUUUUCUAGACAUCAUGGCCUGUUCCUGUAUAGCAUAAUUUAUUUAACCAUGAUCUCUUGUUUGAAAUUCAGGUUGACUACAGUUUUGGACCAUUAUAAGCUUUCAUUUGAUGUAUAUUUAGCUUUUAUUUAUUGAUGGCUUUAUAAAUUAAGUGCAAAUUGUCUAGGGAGAAGGCUGUCUUUGUCUUGAUGACAUAUAUCCCUCGAGUACAGUGCCUAGCUAAAUGGAUUUAAUGGUUUUAAGACCAUAUCUGCAAUAAAAAUGAAAGGUUUAAGUAAAAUUAACCAGAAGGUUUUGAGUUUCUGGUGUAAGUUGACUUUUGGAAGAUAGGAUAGUAUUCUUUCACUUAGAGCUACAAAUUCUGUUUGUUCUCUUUUAUAGAAGGAAGAAUUGUGAGUUGGGAUCUUAAAUAGAAGAACAAAGUUAAAAAAUGGGCCUCAAUUUUUAUAAACCUAACCCUCUGCAAUUCCCCUUGUUUUGAGACAAAGGAGAACAUUUUACACCACUGGAAUAAACAAACUGUAGGGAUACCUACACCAGCUGAAAAACAACAGAUAAAACACUCUCUGCACAAGUAAUUGUAAGACCACACCUUUAACACAUUACCAAUAGCUGCUUUCUCAAAACAUUUCCUUGUUCCUUGGGGGAAGUCACUUUUAAAUGAUAGUUAUAGUGCUGGUGAGGUAGCUCAGUGGUAGAGAACUCAAGGCCUUUGGUUCAGUCCCCAGGACCAUCAAAUAAAAAAGGUGAUAGUCCAUAGACAAUUGGGCUCUUGUUUUUUGUUAUUGUAAACUAGGCAACACAAUUUUUGGUACUUGUUCAGUCUGUAAAGAAAUCCUUCCCAUCCCUAACUGUGAGUCUCCACAGUGGAAAGAAAGAAAGGUGCCUCCAGGACAAAGAACAGAUAAAUGAGAAGGAGGACAGAGGACAUUCCAUUCCUAACUCAGCCAAAGGUUGACAUUUCACAAAGAAUAUGUGGACAUCCAUGUUGUGUUGACAAAGCCCCAUGCCUGGGUACCGAGGUGUCCACAAGGAUGAGGGGACACGGAGCGCCCAGUUGUUGUAGCCACAGUAGCAGGGACGAUUGAACACUUGGGCACCUGAUCUUGUUCUUCCUUUCAAAGGAACUUGCACGGUCAUUCAGGCUGGGUUAGAGUUGUGCAGGUGGAAAGAAAUCUGCUGCACACGCCUUGGACUUGGAAUACAUUUUCAGAGAGAAGAGAAAUAGUCCCAGGUCCCCUCAUCACUGGAAAACAGACUUUUGACUAACAUGGCAGAAGGAAGAUCUUUCUUGGGUUUGGCCUUGCCUGAAGGUAUAAAAAACACUUCUACUUGUUAAUUUUUUCAUGAUUAUUUUUUAGACACUAAUGGAGAAAGUUCUACUAUUCUCAAAAUGAUAUUUUUACGUUUAAAGCGACUCACAUUUUCCCUCCAAUGCAUCUAACCUCAAUGGACCCAACAUCAGAAAGAAAUUAUAGUUUUGCUUUUGGCAGAAUCAGAUAUAAUCAACAAAAGUUCAUAAAGUCAAGUAAACUUUGAAACAUAUGCCACUGUUCUUUUUAAAAAAAACUUUUGUUUUUAAUUAAUUGUAGACUCACAGGAAGUCAUAAAAAUAAUAUAGAGAGUUCCCUAUAGCUUUUCCUCAGCUUCCAAGCUAACACCUUAUCUAACUGCAGUAUACCAUCAAAACCAUGGAAUUGGCACCAACAUUGCUGCUGUUGCCACAAUUCUAUUUGGACAGCUGAAAGUAUAGAAACUGAAAAUUGAAAACCCUAAAGCCUAAGGAAAAAAAAAGACAUUUCAUCUCCUUCUAAGAUCGACCACUAUCAGGUUC
rnacentral:lncRNA from 1 species